UUCAUCCAAUAAGUGUUGAUUUCCUUCUGACAGAUACAGACAUAUGAAUGCUAAAGUUGUGGAAGUGACUAGUCUGUUAUACAAAUCCAAUGAGGCGAAACGUCGGGCGAAGCGUUAACUGUCGCCGAUUCCGGCAUUUACACGUUUUCCAGAAUCAAAACACAAAGGAAGUAGAUGUAUGCUAUGCCUAUCUUUUAAGAAAACAGGGUGGACGGUGAAUGAAAUUUGGAGUCUGGUGAAAUUUAGCGAUGAGAUGAAGGUGUUUUAGGGCAAGGGCAAAAUAAUUUAUGUCUGGAGAAAGCCUGCAGAAAGAUUUCAACCUUCCUGUCUUGUAAUGAACAGCAGCCAGCCAUUCGCCCCGCUUCGCCAUAUCGGAUAUUUUUAAUGGUUUUGGAACUUUGACCGAAGUCAAAGAAAAAAUAUAUAAACUAUAAAAAUAUAUUUCGGUCCCAGAUGAUCAUUUGUGGCCCCUUCUCAAAAAGGAGUUCCCUACAAGUCCCUGGAUAUUUCAGGAGGAUAAAAUUCAAUCCAGUGCAAUAACCUAGACAGACAGUUGAAUGGAAAACAACGAACAAUAUUCCCACACUCACCUGGCCCAGACAUUCAAUUUUUAUUAGUAUUAUGAAAAAUGCAUGUAUGGAGAACAAACAAGAUUCGACCGGAACACCUCCUGGAUGAAAUCAAAAAUCGCCAAGACCAUCAUGUUGUGAAGGAAAUCUUGACCUCUAUCGAUUCGGAGAUAAUUGAAAAACUGUAACAAUAGAUUCCCACACGAUUACGAGCUGUAAUAAAGGCAAAGGUUUGCAUAACCAAGUACCAAUAAGGCGGAGGCAUUUUAUUUUGGUGGAAAAAACAAUAACCAAAAUGUCAGGAGAAAAAAAACGAAUACCAGAAGAUCAUAUACGCUUACCACAAUCAACAAAUAGCACAAGUGGAUGAACUCGUUUUGAAAUAAGUGGUUCCCUCUAACGGAUAAAGCAAUCAGUUUGCUUUAGUAACAUAGUCAGCAAUACAUGGUGUUGGAACAGAGGCGCCUGUGAUUCGAUUUUAGAAUGGUUACAAAAUUAACGUAAUGAUGUACAACAAUAAAUUAUUGAAAAGACGUACUCGACGAAGAAAACUGUUGCAUGGCUAGUUACAGGACAUUUUAUUUUGGAAACCAUACGGUUAGGAGGUACGACAUAAGACAAAGCAUAAAGAAGAAUGAUACCAGUAGUUCGGGAGAAUAAGUAUGAACAAAAUCUGUUGAAAACUUGAUGGUCCUGAGACUUGAACUCAUGCAGAUUUUCCAUCCGUACAAGGUCGAGGCAAGUGCAAUAUUUGAUCAUACUUUCAUUAGGAUCGUGGUACAUGUAUUGAAUGAAAGGUGAAGAUAACGAACAGUGAUCAAUCUCAUAACUCCUACAAGUAAUACAAAAUAGAGAGGUGGGAAACUACGGACCCCUGGACACACCAGAGGUGGGAUCAGGUGCCUAGGAGGAGUAAGAUUCCCCUGUCGACCGGUCACACCCGCCGUGAGCCCUACAUCUUGAUCUGCAAACACACGACUUUUCAGCAUCGAAGAAGAAUCACCAUUUGCAGACAUUUCCGACUUCAGCAUGAAAGACAGGACUAGUAAAGGAAAAGUGACAAGAACGAAGAGUGAUCAAUUUCAUCACUCCCAUAAAGAAUGCAAAAUUACGAGGAAGGCAAAUGCAAACCCCUGGACACACCAGAGUUGGCAUCAGGUGCCUAGGAGGAGUAAGCAUCCCCUGUCAACCGGUCACACCCACCAUAAGCCCUACAUCUUGAUCAGGAUCAUCACAUCUGACAUGGUGUUGACGACUGCAACCCAGAGCAUGAAUCGCUCACCUGGCUCGUAUAAAUUCAAGCAAGCAAGGGGCAUGAUAAUCAUCUUGAAAUUCGGAUAAUUCCAAAACGUAACAAGCUCGCACGGACAGAAAGCCUGAGGGUGCUCUUCUGACGUCCAUCAUUCCGAGUCUUCUCUGAACGCAAUGAAGGAACAUUGGUCGAAGGCUUACAAACCAGUGAAUUCAGGGUCCCCUCAAACCAUGCAACGACACGACCAAGCUGUUCUAGUCCAUGUAAAUGUUACAUAAUCCGAGAAUGGACCCAUAAAUAUUAAGAGAAACAAACAACUUUAUAGUAUUUCUUAAAGAUCAUCACAUCUGAUAUGGUGUUGACGACUGCAACCCAGAGCCUGAAUCGCUCACCUGGCAUGACAGUCAUUUUGAAAUUGGGAUCAUUCCAAAAAGUAACAAGGCUUCUACGGGUCUACUUGAGGAAGGUUUAUACCAAGUACGGUGUGGAAGUUGACCCAGAAGACAAUUGAAAUGUACUUGUUUAUAAAUCCACCGACAGACAGAAGUAAUGCAAUAGUUCACACUGACCAUCGAUAAGCCUGAGGGUGCUCUUCUGACGUCCAUCAUUCCGAGUCUUCUCUGAACGCAAUGAAGGAACAUUGGACGAAUGAUUACAAACCAGUGAAUUCAGGGUCCCCCAAACCAUGCAAUGACACCACCAACCUGUUCCAGUUCUUGUAAAUGUUACAUAAUCCGAGAAUGGACCCAUGAAUAUUAAGAGAAACAAACAACUUUAUAGUAUUUCUUAAAGAUCAUCACAUCUGACGUGAUGCUUACGACUGGGACUUAGAGCCUGAAUCGCUCACCUGGCUGGUAUAACUUCUGGCAAUCAAAAGGCAUGACAAUCAUCUUGAAAUUCGGACCACUUCAAUAAAAAAGAAACGCUUUAGUGGAGGAACGUUUGCGGGAAGCGCGGUGGAGAUACUGCAGUAAAAGACGUUUGAGUUGUAAUGCUUUAUAGAUCCACCAACAGACGGGCUCAAAGAUCAUCAUACAUGUAUCUGACAUGGUGUUGAAGACUGCAACCCAAAGCCUGAAUCGCUGACCUGGCUCGUAUAAAUUCUGCUAAUCAAAAGGCAUAAAAAAAAUGAAGGCAAUUUAGAUUGUUUUAAUAGGUUUUCGUAAGUACUUUUAUAGUCACCAUAGAUAAACCUCAGAGCUCUUUCCUGAAUCUUUUCAAUUUUGCGGGUGUUUUGUUCAGUGCAGAAGUGCCAUGUCAACGGGCAAUAACUAAAAUUUGACAUAAUAAAUGAAUGAUAUAUGGUUAAUUUACCUAAUUUGCUAAGAUGUUUGCCUAUUCGUUUAAGAACAUUUAAUUGCCUUGCUGCCUUUUUACAAAUAUUGGUAAUAUGUGUGUUGAAAGAAAGUUUAAAAUCAAUUGUAAUACCCAACAAUUUUAUUUCUUCAUCACAUGAAAUUUUUAUCCCAUCUAAAUCAAAAACUAUGUUUUCAUUGUGUGUUUUGUUUCCAACAGAGAUAGCUUGGAAUUUUUCUGGAUUUGCCUGCAUUUUGUUUGAUUUAAACCAUUUAAUCAGAUAUCUACUGUCAUCUUGAAGUGCUGUUAUUACAUGAUUUAAAGAUUUAUCUGAUUUUGAUAAAGUAUUGUCAUCUGCAUAGUUGUAGAGAUUACAUUUAUUUACAAAGUGAAAGAGGUCAUUGAUAAAGAUGUUAAAGAGUAAGGGGCCGAGGAUAGACCCUUGUGGCACACCUUUGAUUAUAUUUGACAUGAUACUGGUGUGCUCCCCUACUUUAACACACUGUUUUCUACAUGAGAGAUAGCUACUUAACAUCUCUCGUGCUGCUUUUGAGAGACCAUAUGCUUUUAGUUUAAGAAGAAGUAGUUCAUGAGGAAGGCAGUCAAAGGCUUUAGAAAGGUCCAUUAAAAUUGCUGCUGUGUACUUGUUUUUAUCCAAUGCUUGUUUCCAAUCUUCAAUUACUCUUAAUAAAGUUGACUGACAUCCAAAACCUGACCGAAAAGCUGCCAAAAAAGGAUUGAAAACAUUUUUAAAAAACAUUGUUAACUGAUUUUCAAUUGCUCUUUCAAAAACUUUUGAGAUUGCAGGAAGAACACUAACAGGUCUACAGUUGCCCUUCUCUAAUGAACUAUUCUUCUUGUGUAAUGGUGUCACUUGUGCUAUCUUAAGCUGGUAAGGGAAAGUUGAUGUUGAUAGGGACAUGUUAAUUAGUUGACUUAGAGGUUUGCUGAUAACUGGUAAAGCGAUGUGUUAGAGUUUUGGAGAAAUUCCAUCAAUACCAGUGGCUUUUUUAAUAUUUAUUUUCUUUAUACUUUUUGUUACAAAGUCUUCAGUGACACCUUUAAAGGAAAAUGGAUGUUGUUGUGGUAAUUCUGUUUUAUUUGCUUUUAUUGCCUGUAUACUUGGGUGAUUUUCAUCUACUUGUUCUGCAUCCCCAAUAUUUUUAGCAACAUUUAUGAAAAAGUCAUGACAGUCAUCUCAAACUUCGGAUCACUCAGACAGCAUUUGACCCUAUGAUAGGUAGUAUUGACAAACUACAGCGUUACAACGACCAUAAAAUUUGCGAAUUGUUGACUUUAAACGAGACUGUUGAAACCCCUUUAACAUUAUCUUAUUUGUCAGUAGCUUUCUGUCAGUAGACUACCUCGAUUUAAAAACUGAUCAUACGCAGAACAAGCUCUUGUGUAUUGAAUCAGUCAUGCUUCCCCAACUCUAUAUUAUGUAUUCCUUUUAAGAGUUGUGAAGUUAAGCACUGUUAUCUUCAAUUUUGGUGUAAUGACGUUACCGGGUUAUUCCAACUGAACUAUCAUAAUCAGAAACAUUAUAUACAUAGUUUAACGGCAAACUCAGGUUCAUGACAAACGGGAUGAUUUCAGCUUCUCCAUCGUCAACUUCCCAUAUUUAUGUAACAAGAUUCCAUUAUCACCUUAUGUGGUCAUCAUGUCUCUCAACUGAUUCUAUGCGUGAAAGCAUGUUUUAUGUAUGAUCAAUUUAUGAAUCGCGACAGGCUACUGACAAAUGAGAUUAUGUUACAGGGGUUUCAACAGUCUCGUUGAAAGUCUACAGUUUGCAAAUUAUAUAUCGUUAUAAUGAUCAAAUUUGCAAGUAUAACCCGUGAAUAGGUCAAAUUCAGUCUGGUGUGUUUCAUAGGAAUUGUUAGACCAUUUACCGGUUAACAGGGGAUGGUUACUCUCCUAGGCACCUAAUGUUGCUUCUAGUGUUUCAAGGGAUCCAUGUUUAUCCUACUCGUGAUUCCGCAUCCUUUAUAGAUCAAUGUUCGUUAUCUUUACGUUUUCAUAGAUAUAUAUUCUACUACAAAAAUACCGUCGUAUUUUGAGCACUUUGAUUUUGAUUAACCAUUUAGGUCUGAUAGAUAUAGAAAACAUAGCUACACAGAGCGGUCCAUGUCGGUGUGACUGUUUUUCUGGUGUUCAGCAGACAGGUUCUUAUAAAACUAAGCAGAUAAAACUAUGCAUGUAGAGGUCAUCAUUAUUAUCAUAAUCAACAUCUACAUUUUUGUAUGGAUUAUAUUUAUCCCUGGGCUGAGUUCACGAACUAUAUCUUACUAAUGAUACAAUUCACAACGGGAUCGGAAUUCAAAGUAUAUUUGUCAGCGGGAUAAAAACAGGUUAGGCAAAACGUUUCGUUUUAUCGGAACAGUUAGGCAGAAAAUGCCCCGUACUGCGAAUAUUUCACUUCCUAGUAGCUUAUCUCAAACUUUUCUGAACUAAAAAUACAUGUAUAUCUUAUAACACGGAAACCACGACAUCCUUCAUAUCGUGUGUGUAAGAAGAUGACAACUAAAAUGUUCCUUAUUAGUCAAAAUGUGACAGUAAAGAGUAGUACUCAUUGGAAAAACAAUUGGUAUUGGCUUAAACUAAACCUGUCCUAAGGACACUAAGUAUAUAGACUCUCGUACAUAAUUACCUACCGAGAAAACAGACCUGAAUAAGACACCCCGGGAAAAUGAGACUGUAAUUUCUCUCACGGAAAAAUUAACCCGGGCCCAUCUUAUCUCCCCCUCUGAGAAAAUGCACCCCCCCCCCCCAGUAAAGAAUUUCCCCCUAAUGACAGCACAUCCCUUUACUAUUUCUAGCUAUCUAUCCGUUUCCGGUUCUAUUUCUAGAAUGUACAAUGCAACGUAAAUUCAAAACGUGAAAUCUUAUGUUUAAAUUCAUUUCCCACAAUUAGGCCUUUGUCGACUUACUAAAUUAGUACAUUAAGUUGAGACUAAGCUUACAUUUUUGCAAACAAUAUUUUUAUCUAAAUGAUUGAUUUGCUUGACAAAUACACCAAUGAGUUAUAGCUUUUGUAUACUUUAACAUGUAUAUGUUUUAUGCCGAUUGUUAGGCCGUUCUUGGCACACUGAUUUUGACUACGGAUAACUCCUUUAGGGAGAUCAAGAUAUUGGGCUUACAGUGGGUGCGACCGUUCGACAGGGAAUGCUUACUCCUAAGCACCUGAUCCCACAUUUGGUAUAUAUGGGGGCCCUUGUUUGCCAAACUCUCUGUUUUGUAUUGCUUAUAGGAGUUAUGAGAUAGAUCACUGUUCGUUAUCUUCACCUUGCAUUUAUGUACAAUACAGUAUGUUCCUUAUUUUUCAGAGGAUGUGGAGCUUGGAGGUUGAACCCAUCAUUUGAUCACACAACAAUAUAAAUUAAUUAGAACUUAAUGAUAUUUUUGGUGGAUUUCAUAUUUUUCAUGAUUUAAAUGAAUUUAGAUAUAUACUAGCGGAAAAAAGAAAUUGUGCAUUAUUUAACUUAUGAAAAAAUUAACAAUGAACAAAUUUUAUGUUUUGUAAUACUGUUAACAAAUGUAUUCGUUACAACAUUUCAUAAUCCAUUAAUAUUACUGUCGAAUAAUGUCAAUUUCAGCACACUCGAAAGACACUGGUAUUCGAACUUGAAUUAACAAAGUUCAUAACGUGUGUGACCACCAUUUGCAUUCACGUAUGCUUGACAAUGGCGCCUCAUUGAUGUCACUAAAGUAUUCAGAAAUGCUUGAGGGAUGUUGUUCCAGAUGUUGGUUAAAGCCUGGCCUAAAUCAACCAAUGUCACUGGCUGAGUUGGUAAACGGCGUAGACGUCGUUCGAUUUCAUACCAGACGUGCUUGAUCGGUGAUAAAUCGGGGGAAACAGUUGACUAAGGCAAGACAUCGACAUUCUGUUGAACAAAAAAAGUCCCUGACUACAUGUGCUACAUGUGGCCUUGCGUUGUCUUGCUGCAGAGUGAUGUGAUUUUGCUAUCUCUGUAUGAAGGGUAUCACAUGGCGCUGAAUAAUUUCGUUUCGAUGGCGUACGCCGGUGAGAUUUCCAUUGACAAUUUGUAGAGGGGUCCUUCCACGUGCUGUUAUUCAACUCCACACCAUAAUGCUACCUCCACCGAAUUGUCGACGUUGCACAACACAAGCGUCCUGGUACCGCUCCCCAACGCGACGAUACACUCUACAACGGCCGUCACUGCUAUCCAAAUGAAAUCUGGAUUCAUCAGUGAACAGAAUAUCGCGCAGACGAUUAUGCACAGUUCUUGAACUGAUUGGUCGAAGUCCAGGAAUGCUACGAGCAGUCAACCUUGCUGUCUGCAAACGAUUUCUCAGUGCACAAGUCUAAUGUGGUUGUCCUGUCGACGCGACGUCACACGAAGACGCCCAGAACAUGGUCAAUCCCGGGUGUUACCAGAUUGUUGGAAACGUCUUCAUAAUGACGGGAUGGUAUUCCAAUGAACUUCAGUGCCUUGCUACGUUAUUUUGUGCCAUUCCAGCUAGAAGCAUCCCAACAGCACGGUUACGUUGGUUUUCGCUGAGUCGUGACAUGACAGAAGGGUAAAUUUUGUCAAAACUAAAGUGCUUUCCUUAACGAGUAGUGUCCAAACAAACCUUUUACACUUCUUACUCCAAACAGUAUGGGCCAGUAAUACUCGUGCGUACGAACACUUCAAUAAACAACAUGUGUUCACUAACCAUGAAAAAGUCCGUGCAUCUGAGUUUGGUACGAUCCGAUAUUGUUAAAAAACAUCACCUUUAUCGAUUGUUUAGAUUUUAUGAAUAUAAACAAUAAAUAUAGAAAAAUUAUACUAAAUUUUAUAAUGCAGUUUUUUUCCCCCGCUAGUAUAUAUAUUCUAGUGUAUAAAGUUUGGUGUUUUAUGCAAAUAUAGGAAAUCUUUGAGAUGAAUAAAUAUGUUUUAGCAAUGGUGAAGGUUGUACAAAAUGUUUUACUGAUUUCUAUCUGUUUUAAGUAUUCUGUGUUCUUGAAUGAGUGUCAGAAGCGUUCUUUAGGGAUGAAUGUAUCAUUCUAUUGUACUACCAUUACUUGUAAUGACUACAUAUAUAUGCCAUGGGUCAUCCAGAGAAAUAUUUAUAAGUAACACAUGUAAAUAUGACAUACGUUUCAUGUAAAUAAACAUACAAGUGGCACAUUAAA